CCUGGGAACUGCGUUNUGAACUGGGUGACUAGAGUGUGUCAGAGGGAGGUAGAAUUCCACGUGUAGCAGUGAAAUGCGUAGAGAUGUGGAGGAAUACCGAUGGCGAAGGCANCCUCCUGGGAUAACACUGACGUUCAUGCCCGAAAGCGUGGGUAGCAAACAGGAUUAGAUACCCUGGUAGUCCACGCCCUAAACGAUGUCGAUUAGCUGUUGGGCAGCAUGACUGCUUAGUAACGAAGCUAACGCGUGAAAUCGACCGCCUGGGGAGUACGGUCGCAAGAUUAAAACUCAAAGGAAUUGACGGGGACCCGCACAAGCGGUGGAUGAUGUGGAUUAAUUCGAUGCAACGCGAAGAACCUUACCUGGUCUAGACAUGUACGGAACCCUCCAGAGACGGAGGGGUGCCUUCGGGAGCCGUAACACAGGUGCUGCAUGGCUGUCGUCAACUCGUGUCGUGAGAUGUUGGGUUAAGUCCCGCAACGAGCGCAACCCUUGUCAUUAGUUGCCAUCAUUAAGUUGGGCACUCUAAUGAGACUGCCGGUGACAAGCCGGAGGAAGGUGGGGAUGACGUCAAGUCCUCAUGGCCCUUAUGACCAGGGCUUCACACGUCAUACAAUGGUCGGUACAGAGGGUAGCCAAGCCGCGAGGUGGAGCCAAUCUCACAAAACCGAUCGUAGUCCGGAUUGCACUCUGCAACUCGAGUGCAUGAAGUCGGAAUCGCUAGUAAUCGCAGGUCAGCAUACUGCGGUGAAUACGUUCCCGGGUCUUGUACACACC
rnacentral:rRNA from 1 species